rnacentral:rRNA from 1 species
GAGACCCUACGGGACGCAGCAGUGAGGAAUAUUGGUCAAUGGGCGGGAGCCUGAACCAGCCAAGUCGCGUGAGGGAAGACGGUCCUAUGGAUUGUAAACCUCUUUAGGCGGGGAGCAAUGCCGGGCACGCGUGUCCGGAGGGAGUGUACCCGCAGAAUAAGCAUCGGCUAACUCCGUGCCAGCAGCCGCGGUAAUACGGAGGAUGCGAGCGUUAUCCGGAUUUACUGGGGGGAAAGGGGGCGCAGACG